CCCCGAGUCCCCUUUCUUCAUGGAGUGCAACAGCUUCACGUCGCCAGACCCCCACAAGGGCUUCGUCCUCCUGCCUAAGACGGAGUGCGACGUGCGGGAAGUGGAGCUGAUGCGGUGCCUGCGGCUGCGCCAGUCCUCCCUGGAGCCUGUGGCCUUCCGGCUGCCCCGAGUCCGGAAAGAGUUCUUCCAGGAUGACGUGUUCCCAGACACGGCUGUGAGCUGGGAGCCUGUGCUCAGUGCUGAGGCCUGGCUGCAGGGCGCUAAUGGGCAGCCCUGGCUUCUCAGCCUGCAGCCUCCUGACAUGAGUCCAGUGAGCCAAGCCCCCCGAGAGGCCCCUGCUCGUCGGGCCCCAUCCUCAGCGCAGUACCUGGAAGAGAAGUCAGACCAGCAAAAGAAGGAGGAGCUGCUGAAUGCCAUGGUGGCAAAACUGGGGAACCGGGAGGACCCACUCCCCCAGGACUCCUUUGAAGGCGUGGACGAGGACGAGUGGCCAGCCGGGCCGCAGCUGAUGCCCGAGGACGCGCUGGACACCGAUCUGCAGCCGCUUCCAACCUCUCCGGCCUCAGCCUCCAGGAGGCACAGCAGAUUCUCAACGUGUCCAAGCUGAGCCCUGAGGAGAUCCAGAAGAACUAUGAACACUUAUUUAAGGUGAACGACAAAUCCGUGGGUGGC
rnacentral:sRNA from 1 species